UACGUAGGGGGCAAGCGUUGUCCGGAUUUAUUGGGCGUAAAGAGCGUGUAGGCGGCCAGACAAGUCUGCUGUGAAAACUCGAGGCUCAACCUCGAGCUGUCGGUGGAAACUGUCUGGCUCGAGUCCGGAAGAGGGGGGCGGAAUUCCCAGUGUAGCGGUGAAAUGCGUAGAUAUUGGGAGGAACACCAGUGGCGAAGGCGGUCCCCUGGGCCGGAACUGACGCUGAGGCGCGAAAGCGUGGGUAGCAAACGGG
rnacentral:rRNA from 1 species